GCUACACACGUGCUACAAUGGACGGUACAAAGAGCUGCAAGACCGCGAGGUGGAGCUAAUCUCAUAAAACCGUUCUCAGUUCGGAUUGUAGGCUGCAACUCGCCUACAUGAAGCUGGAAUCGCUAGUAAUCGCGGAUCAGCAUGCCGCGGUGAAUACGUUCCCGGGCCUUGUACACACCGCCCGUCACACCACGAGAGUUUGUAACACCCGAAGUCGGUGGGGUAACCUUUAUGGAGCCAGCCGCCUAAGGUGGGACAGAU
rnacentral:rRNA from 1 species